GGGUGGGUAGCUCAGCUGGUAGAGCAGCGGACUUUUAAUCCGUUGGUCGCGGGUUCGAUUCCCGCCCCACCCA
rnacentral:tRNA from 1 species